UGGGGAAUUUUGGACAAUGGGCGCAAGCCUGAUCCAGCCAUGCCGCGUGCGGGAAGAAGGCCUUCGGGUUGUAAACCGCUUUUGUCAGGGAAGAAAUCUUCUGAGUUAAUACCUCGGGAGGAUGACGGUACCUGAAGAAUAAGCACCGGCUAACUACGUGCCAGCAGCCGCGGUAAUACGUAGGGUGCAAGCGUUAAUCGGAAUUACUGGGCGUAAAGCGUGCGCAGGCGGUUUUGUAAGACAGAGGUGAAAUCCCCGGGCUCAACCUGGGAACUGCCUUUGUGACUGCAAGGCUUGAGUGCGGCAGAGGGGGGAUGGAAUUCCGCGUGUAGCAGUGAAAAUUGCGUAGAUAUGCGGAGGAACACCGAUGGCGAAGGCAAUCCCCUGGGCCUGCACUGACGCUCAUGCACGAAAGCGUGGGGAGCAAAACAGGAUUAGAUACCCCUGGUAGUCCACGCCCUAAAACGAUGUCAACUGG
rnacentral:rRNA from 1 species